rnacentral:rRNA from 1 species
AAAGAUUAAGCCAUGCAUGUCUAAGUAUAAGCAAUUAUACCGCGAAACUGCGAAUGGCUCAUUAUAUAAGUUAUCGUUUAUUUGAUAGCACAUUUACCUACUUGGAUAACCGUGGUAAUUCUAGAGCUAAUACAUGCUAAAAAUCCCGACUUCGGAAGGGAUGUAUUUAUUAGAUUAAAAGCCAACGCCCUUCGGGGCUCUCUGGUGAUUCAUGAUAACUGAUCGAAUCGCAUGGCCUUGCGCCGGCGAUGGUUCAUUCAAAUUUCUUCCCUAUCAACUUUCGAUGCGAGGGUCUUGUCCUCGCAUGGUUG